UUAGGGAGACCUACCCCAUGCGCAACGGCGAAAGCAGUUACUCAUGAGGUCAUCCCAAGGUCGGUCGAAACUCUGUGCUGCUUUCAAACUAUUUCUGGUUCAAAAUGACUGAGAAACUGAUUUCAGUUACGAAAAACUUGUAAUCCUAUGUAAAAGGUGAUAGGAUUAGAAAUCUGUGAGUGAGUUUCAGCACCGGUUUCAGAUGAAGACAGGAUGCUGGGAUUAUGCCCAGUCAGGACCAUGAAAACUGCAUAAGAAAGCGAAGAAAACCAGGAAGGUAGAGCCUUUUACAGACAAAACUAGAUCCAAAAGAAGU
rnacentral:misc_RNA from 1 species